rnacentral:rRNA from 1 species
AACGAACGCUGGCGGCAUGCCUAACACAUGCAAGUCGAACGAGACCUUCGGGUCUAGUGGCGCACGGGUGCGUAACGCGUGGGAACAUGCCCUUAGGUUCGGAAUAACUCCCCGAAAGGGGUGCUAAUACCGGCUAAUGUAUUCGGACCAAAGAUUUAUCGCCUUUGGAUGGGCCCGCGUUGGAUUAGCUAGUUGGUAGGGUAAAAGCCUACCACGGCGACGAUCCAUAGCUGGUCUGUGAGGAUGAUCAGCCACACUGGGACUGAGACACGGCCCAGACUCCUACGGGAGGCAGCAGUGGGGAAUAUUGGACAAUGGGCGAAAGCCUGAUCCAGCAAUGCCGCGUGAGUGAUGAAGGCCUUAGGGUUGGAAAGCUCUUUUACCCGGGAUGAUAAUGACAGUACCGGGAGAAUAAGCACCGGCUAACUCCGUG